rnacentral:rRNA from 1 species
CCUACGGGAGGCAGCAGUGGGGAAUAUUGCACAAUGGGGGAAACCCUGAUGCAGCGACGCCGCGUGAGUGAAGAAGUAAUUCGGUAUGUAAAGCUCUAUCAGCAGGGAAGAAAAUGACGGUACCUGAGUAAGAAGCCCCGGCUAACUACGUGCCAGCAGCCGCGGUAAUACGUAGGGGGCAAGCGUUAUCCGGAUUUACUGGGUGUAAAGGGAGCGUAGACGGCAGUGCAAGUCUGGAGUGAAAGGCGGGGGCUCAACCCCCGGACUGCUCUGGAAACUGUGCAGCUGGAGUGCAGGAGAGGUGAGUGGAAUUCCUAGUGUAGCGGUGAAAUGCGUAGAUAUUAGGAGGAACACCAGUGGCGAAGGCGGCUUACUGGACUGUAACUGACGUUGAGGCUCGAAAGCGUGGGGAGCAAACAGGAUUAGAUACCCUUGUAGUC